GAAAACUUGGAAACUACCGUUGGAUCGAGAAAUGAAUGUUCGAGAUUCGUCCACGUCACCCUGAGUUAAAACUCCUAGUUAAAUUUUAACUCAGGGUGACGUGGACGAAUCUCGAACGUUCAUUUCUCGAUCCAACGGUAGUUUCCAAGUUUUC
rnacentral:pre_miRNA from 1 species